rnacentral:rRNA from 1 species
CCUACGGGAGGCAGCAGUAGGGAAUAUUGCUCAAUGGGGGAAACCCUGAAGCAGCAACGCCGCGUGGAGGAUGAAGGUUUUCGGCUUGUAAACUCCUUUUGUUAGAGAAGAUAAUGACGGUAUCUAACGAAUAAGCACCGGCUAACUCCGUGACAGCAGCCGCGGUCAUACGAAGGGUGCAAGCGUUCCUCGGAAUCACUGGGCGUAAAGAGCGCGUAGGCGGGAUAACAAGUCAGAUGUGAAAUCCUAUGGCUAAACCAUAGAACUGAAGUUGAAACUGUUAUUCUAGAGUAUGGGAGAGGAGAGUGGAAUUCUUGGUGUAGGGGUAAAAUGCGUAGAUAUAAGGAGGAAUACUCGUGGCGAAGGCGAC